UUUAAAUUGUUCAAGCAAAAUCAUAAAUAUUAAAUCUUAAACAAUACCACAACAUAAUCCUGUUAUCGUAUUAUGUGAUUUAUUAAACUAGAAAACAGAAUGAGGAUUGAUCAAAAUACUUCGAAAUUAAGGAACUUUUCAGUUUUGCCAAUGUUGGAUAAGUGCCAGGUGAAAUAUUGAGCAAAUAAUUUAGAAUACGCAUAAUAAUCAGCCAUAAAGGGCUGUGGCGUGUGGUUUUUAUCUAUAGUUUCAAAUUUAACGUGAAUCACAAAAAAUUUUUGUGGCGUCCCGUUACACACUUAAAACAGCUGCGUUAAAUACAAGUGAAUUAUAAAUUUCAUAUUAAAAACACAAUUGUUUUAUCAUUUGACUGAUACAACUUCACCAGAUUAACACAUUAAAACUAAAUAGAGAUGCUUUGAAAUCAAUAUGGUUUCAAAAUAGCAGAAGUUUUAUCACUUGUUUCGUUAAAUCUGUUAAAGGAGUUUUCAUGUUUGACUGGUAUUUUUCUUAAAUGCCUUAAUUUUAAUGAGGCAUUCGUUUACUCGCAACUAGUAUGUACUUCUUUGAGGCUAACGAAAUUCGUAAGCCAGCACAAACUACCACUUUCGCAGACUUGACAGGUUGUUUGUUCGUUCGCCCAGUCAGACAUAACCGUUGGUAUUUAUAAUCUUUCCUAUUGUUUUUUUGUAGUAAGGAAAAAUAGUUCUCACUAUUACCGGUUGCAAACAGUUCAACAAUUUUAAGGAAAAUCUUGUUAAAAAUUUAUUGUUGUAAAUAAAAAAAUACUAGAAUCAAUCCCAAAAAGACACAAUAAAGAAAAUAUGUAACCGACCAAGCUCACGACAUUAGUCAACUUUGUGACUGAACGCGACUAUCAUAAUGGCGCAGAGUAUAAACGCGACAAUGGUCAGCAUACCGAGAAGACUGGUACGGCCGUCUCUCUCAAUAGUCGUAAACUGGUUAUUGAAUGAAACCACAAACUCGGAAAUAAAAUUAAUAUGAAUAAAAAUAAGAUACAAAUUCUUUAUUUUUUUAUUUUAUU